rnacentral:rRNA from 1 species
CUUUUAAUGAGAGUUUGAUCCUGGCUCAGGACGAACGCUGGCGGCGUGCCUAAUACAUGCAAGUAGAACGCUGAGGUUUGGUGUU